GGAAUUUUGGACAAUGGACGCAAGUCUGAUCCAGCCAUUCCGCGUGCAGGACGAAGGCCUUCGGGUUGUAAACUGCUUUUGUACGGAACGAAAAAGCUCUUACUAAUACUAGGAGUCCAUGACGGUACCGUAAGAAUAAGCACCGGCUAACUACGUGCCAGCAGCCGCGGUAAUACGUAGGGUGCGAGCGUUAAUCGGAAUUACUGGGCGUAAAGCGUGCGCAGGCGGUUAUAUAAGACAGAUGUGAAAUCCCCGGGCUCAACCUGGGAACUGCAUUUGUGACUGUAUAGCUAGAGUGCGGCAGAGGGGGAUGGAAUUCCGCGUGUAGCAGUGAAAUGCGUAGAUAUGCGGAGGAACACCGAUGGCGAAGGCAAUCCCCUGGGCCUGCACUGACGCUCAUGCACGAAAGCGUGGGGAGCAAACAGGAUUAGAUACCCUGGUAGUCCACGCCCUAAACGAUGUCAACUGGUUGUUGGGUCUUCACUGACUCAGUAACGAAGCUAACGCGUGAAGUUGACCGCCUGGGGAGUACGGCCGCAAGGUUGAAACUCAAAUGAAUUGACGG
rnacentral:rRNA from 1 species